rnacentral:rRNA from 1 species
CCUACGGGCGGCAGCAGUAGGGAAUAUUGCUCAAUGGGGGAAACCCUGAAGCAGCAACGCCGCGUGGAGGAUGAAGGUUUUCGGAUUGUAAACUCCUUUUGUUAGAGAAGAUAAUGACGGUAUCUAACGAAUAAGCACCGGCUAACUCCGUGCCAGCAGCCGCGGUAAUACGGUGGGUGCAAGCGUUACUCGGAAUCACGGGGCGGAAAGGGCGCGUAGGCGGGUUAGCAAGUCAUAUGUGAAAUCCUAUGGCUUAACCAUAGAACUGCAUUUGAAACUGUUAUUCUAGAGUAUGGGAGAGGUAAGUGGAAUGCUUGGUGUAGGGGUAAAAUGCGUAGAGAUCAAGAGGAAUACGCAUUGCGAAGGCGACCUGCUAGAACAUAACUGACGCUGAUGCGCGAAAGCGUGGGGAGCAAACAGGAUUAGAUACCCUUGUAGUC